GUCUCAGUAAGGGAUAAUUCUGAUCUGUAAGUUCUACGGAACUUCAGAAAAGAAUCGUGAUGACUGCGCUGUAUGACUCAUGUGAGUUAAAACCGCGGGGACCAGGGAGUAACGACCCUUGGUCCUGAGUCUGAC